rnacentral:rRNA from 1 species
CUUUUAGAUGGCGACCGGCGCACGGGUGAGUAACACGUAUCCAACCUGCCGAUGACUCGGGGAUAGCCUUUCGAAAGAAAGAUUAAUACCCGAUGGCAUAGUUCUUCCGCAUGGUAGAACUAUUAAAGAAUUUCGGUCAUCGAUGGGGAUGCGUUCCAUUAGCUUGUUGGCGGGGUAACGGCCCACCAAGGCAUCGAUGGAUAGGGGUUCUGAGAGGAAGGUCCCCCACAUUGGAACUGAGACACGGUCCAAACUCCUACGGGAGGCAGCAG